rnacentral:hammerhead_ribozyme from 1 species
AUCAAACUGAUGAGUUCUAAAUAGGACGAAACGCGCGUCUUGGAU